rnacentral:rRNA from 1 species
UACGUAGGGUGCAAGCGUUUAAUCGGAAUUACUGGGCGUAAAGCGUGCGCAGGCGGUUUGGUAAGACAGAUGUGAAAUCCCCGGGCUCAACCUGGGAAUUGCAUUUGUGACUGCCCGACUAGAGUGUGUCAGAGGGGGGUAGAAUUCCACGUGUAGCAGUGAAAUGCGUAGAGAUGUGGAGGAAUACCGAUGGCGAAGGCAGCCCCCUGGGAUAACACUGACGCUCAUGCACGAAAGGCGUGGGAGCAAACAGGAUUAGAAACCC